rnacentral:rRNA from 1 species
GAUGAACGCUAGCUACAGGCUUAACACAUGCAAGUCGAGGGGAAACGAUAUUGGAAGCUUGCUUCCGAUAGGCGUCGACCGGCGCACGGGUGAGUAACGCGUAUCCAACCUGCCCACCACUUGGGGAUAACCCUGCGAAAGUAAGACUAAUACCCAAUGACGUCACUAGGAGACAUCUGAAAGAGAUUAAAGAUUUAUCGGUGAUGGAUGGGGAUGCGUCUGAUUAGCUUGUUGGCGGGGUAACGGCCCACCAAGGCGACGAUCAGUAGGGGUCCUGAGAGGAAGGUCCCCCACAUUGGAACUGGGACACGGUCCAAACUCCUACGGGAGGCAGCAGUGAGGAAUAUUGGUCAAUGGGCGAGAGCUUGAACCAGCCAAGUAGCGUGCAGGAUGACGGCCCUAUGGGUUGUAAACUGCUUUUAUAAGGGAAUAAAGUGAGUCUCGUGAGACUUUUUGCAUGUACCUUAUGAAUAAGGACCGGCUAAUUCCGUGCCAGCCGCCGCGGUAA